UGCCAUUGACGGUGGCUCAGUUAGCUAGAGUGUGGUGCUGAUUAUGCCAAGAUUGUGGGUUUGAUCCCCAUAUGGGCCA